UACUUGUUAGUUAAAUUUUUUAAGGUUUAGUCGGUUAGUGUGCCUUUUGCAUCAUGCUUAGUAGAUGUUAUGAAUUAUUUUCUUUUAUCGAAAGAGUUAGAUUUCAUAGAAGGCUUAUUAGAAUUAGUAGUCGGGUAGACGUUUGAUUAGACUUUGCAUGUGUUGUGAUAAAUUAGUCGGUAACUUUUAUAUCUAUUUUAUAGCUAGUUAUUUUUUAUAUUCUUAUGGUUAUAAUAUCGUGGGAAAGUGUAUACUUUGUUUUAUUUAGUUUUAAGAAAGGGUUAAAAUUACCUAAUUUUUAUAAAAGUGUUACAAUUUUAUUAAAUUUUUAUUUUUAAGUUACUUUUAUUAGCUAUUACUUUGUUAAUUUAUAGUAUUUGUUUAUUAUUAAAUAAGUAAUUUAAUCAUAUUUAAUUGUUUCUCAAGUUUUGCCCGUCUGUUUAUUAAAAACAUUUCUAUACUAAAAGGUUGUAUGGUAGUACCUGCUCUAUGUUUUUAUAAAUGGCCGCAGUAUCUUGACUGUGCGAAGGUAGCAUAAUUAAUUGCCUCCUAAUUAGAGGCUUGUUUGAAUGGUUUGACGUGGUAAAUACAAACAUUUAGUAUUUUUUUGAAAUUAAUGUUGAGGGCACAGAAUCCUCAUAUAAUUAAUUAGACGGAAAGACCCCGGGAUCUUUCUUUUUUGCCUGGGGCAGGUUUAGGUGUUUCACCUAUAUUGUGAUCCUUAAAAAAGUUUAGUGAUUUAAGUUACCCCGGGGAUAACAGUGUAAUAAAUUAUUAGAGACCUUAUCGAAUAAUUUGUUUGCCACCUCGAUGUUGACUUAGAUGUUUAUGCUAGGCGCAGUAGUUUAGUAUUUUGGUCUGUUCGACCUUUUUCAUCUCCAUGAGUUGAGUUAAGACCGGCGUAAGCCAGGUCGGUUCUUAUCUAUUUAUCUAGCUUGCUAGUACGAAAGGAUUGUAAGCUGUUUUUUU
rnacentral:rRNA from 1 species